CCCAGUCAAAUUUGAUUUCAGAUAAACAAUGAAUAAUUUUUAGUGUAAGCAUUCCCCAUGAAAUAUUUGGGACAUAUUUAUUCUAAAAAUAAUUUUCAUUUAUCUAAAAUUCAAAUUUAACUGGGUGUCCUAUA
rnacentral:miRNA from 1 species